rnacentral:rRNA from 1 species
UACAGAGGUCCCAAGCGUUACUGAGAAUCACUGGGUUUAAAGGGUGCGUAGGUGGUCCGUUAAGUCAGUUGUGAAAUCCCCGGGCUCAACUCGGGAACUGCUUCUGAUACUGGCGGACUUGAGGCCAGUAGGGGUCACUAGAACUGACGGUGGAGCGGUGAAAUGCGUAGAUAUCGUCAGGAAUGCCGGUGGUGAAGACGGGUGACUGGGCUGGUUCUGACACUGAGGCACGAAAGCGUGGGGAGCGAGCGGG